AGUACACGCUUGUCUCAAAGACUAAGCCAUGCAUGUCUGAGUUAUUUUAAACUGCGAAUGGCUCAUUAAAACAGUUAUUGUUUACAGAUAUUUGGCUUUAAAUGGAUAUCCGUGGUAAACCAGAGCUAAUACAUGCGUUACGUCCGACUUUCUACGAAGGACAGUAUUUACCCUAAGCUACCUCUUGGUAACUGAGUAACUGAUCGAAUCGCCAUUUUGUGCGAUGAAUCUACAAGUUUCUGCCCUAUCAGCUAGACUGAAGUGUCUUGGACUACAAUGGCCGUCACGGGUAACGGGGAUUAGGGUUCGAUACCGGAGAGGGAGCCUGAGAAACGGCUACCACUUUUACGGAAGGCAGCAGGCGCGUACAAUACCCAAUCCUAAUUCAGGGAGGUUGUGACAAGAAAUAACAGACCGGAUUCCGGGUUUGCAAUGGGUUACACUUACACUCAAACACUAGGAACCAUUGGAGGGCAAGUCUGGUGCCAGCAGCCGCGGUAAUUCCAGCUCGAAUAGCGUGAGUUAAAUUUGUUGCAGUUAAAAGCUCGUAGUUGGACUUCUGAACUCAGCAAUCGCUUCCUGCGCUUGUUGGCUUCAUCCAUCUGUCAACGGUUCAUGGUCUUGUCGACUGGUUCCGGGCUCUGAUACUGACCAUGAGGAAAUUAGAGUGUUCGAGGCAGGCUUGCGCCCGAAUACGUUAGCAUGCAUUCCAUCCAGCUUGCAAAGGUGUUUCACCUAGUUUUAAGGUUAACUGCGGACAGUUGGGGCGUUGUAUUCCAUUGCCAGAGGUGACAUUCUUUAACCUAUGGAAGACAAAUGGAUGCGAAAGCCAUCUGCCAAGAAUGUUCGCAUCAAAUCAGGAGCUAAAGUUAGGGGAUCAAAGACGAUCAGAUACCGUCCUAGUCUUAACCAUAACCAAUGCCGACUAGCGAUCGGGGGCGCGCGCUUUCCGCCUUCGGCAGCUUUCGAGAUAUCAAAGUCAGGUUCUGGGGGAAGUAUGGUCGCAAGGCUGAAACUUAAAGGAAUUGACGGAAGGGCACCACCAGGAGUGGAGCCUGCGGCUUAAUUUGACUCAACACGGGGAAACUCACCAGGUCCAGACAUAGGAAGGAUUGACAGAUUGACAGCUCUUUCUUGAUUCUAUGGGUGGUGGUGCAUGGCCGUUCUUAGUUGGUGGAGCGAUUUGUAGUGGUUAAUUCCUGUACGAACGAGACCUUAGCCUGCUAAUUAGUCGUCACGCCGAGGCUUCGAUGACUUCUUAGAGGGACGAUGUGCGAAACACAGGGAAGCCUUAGGCAAUAACAGGUCUGUGAUGCCCUUAGAUGUCCUGGGCCGCACGCGUGCUACACUGAUACUGACAAAAAGUCACCAGGGCCGAGAGGCUACGGGUAACCUGCAAUCAGUAUCGUGAUUGGGAUAGAUCCUUGCAAUUCGGGAUCUUGAACGAGGAAUUCCUAGUAAGUGCAAGUCAUCAUCUUGCGCUGAUUAAGUCCCUGCCCUUUGUACACACCGCCCGUCGCUUCUACCGACAGAGUGGUCAGGUGAGACUUUUGGAUCGCCGGGUAACCGCGCGAGAAAUCAAUCGAGCCCAAUCACUUGGAGGAAGAACAAGUCGUAACAAGGUUUCC
rnacentral:rRNA from 1 species